AUUGAACGCUGGCGGCAUGCUUUACACAUGCAAGUCGAACGGUAACAGGCCGCAAGGUGCUGACGAGUGGCGAACGGGUGAGUAAUGCAUCGGAACGUGCCCAGUCGUGGGGGAUAACGCAGCGAAAGCUGCGCUAAUACCGCAUACGAUCUAUGGAUGAAAGCGGGGGACCGUAAGGCCUCGCGCGAUUGGAGCGGCCGAUGUCAGAUUAGGUAGUUGGUGGGGUAAAGGCUCACCAAGCCAACGAUCUGUAGCUGGUCUGAGAGGACGACCAGCCACACGGGGACUGAGACACGGCCCAGACUCCUACGGGAGGCAGCAGUGGGGAAUUUUGGACAAUGGGCGAAAGCCUGACCCAGCAAUGCCGCGUGUGUGAAGAAGGCCUUCGGGUUGUAAAGCACUUUUGUCCGGAAAGAAAUGGCUCUGGUUAAUACCUGGGGUCGAUGACGGUACCGGAAGAAUAAGGACCGGCUAACUACGUGCCAGCCGCCGCAGUAAUAC
rnacentral:rRNA from 1 species